AUUGGUUGCUAUGGGCAACUGCACCACUCUUCCUCUGCACAGGUUGUGAUAAAUCUCCCCAACUGUGUAUCUCCAGGCGUGGCCGUUGCGAAACAGUUCCUAGUUCAUCUAUAGCACAGUCUAUGUAAGAGCAAGGUGUGAAACACUCUGGAUGGUCCCUAGCACGCACCGAGUAAACAUUUUGUCUCAGAAGACACGGUUCUUCAGGUAAUGGAGGCAUGCGCUCAGCAGCCGUGCACAGGAACCAGGGACACAGAGGGAGUCUCAGGCCAGCAGACGCCACAACAGGUGAAUCACAUUUUCAGCUAUUAUCCGGCCUCAUCUGACAAUAUCCACAGGAGAAGCCUUUGUUCGGAAUUCAGAGACCCAAGGAUCAGAGAUUUCAACUCUCCCUCCAGGGAUCCCUUUACUAGCUCCAUUUCUCUAUUUCUCUACCAGUGCAGAAUUUCCGCCAAGUUCUUAAGGCAGACAAUACGGAGCAUAAUAGAAUCUUCAGUGAAAAAAACAUUAACCCUUCGUUGCCCCCCGAUAACUUGUAGCCUAUAUGUCCUUGUUCUUGACACUAUGG